UACUCCUGCUUUAUACUUAUAUUUCUAUGUGACCACUUUACACAGCAUCAGCCAGCAGCCGCUCUGCACAAUUAAUAUACUGCCUGCCAGGAUUUAUUUCCCUCCUGACUCCAUAUUGAACAUGUAUACCUCUAAUUGUAGCAACAAAUGAUUGAUUAGCACUACGUGCUUUCUGUCCUCGAUCCGCCUGCUUACCUUUUGGGGCUGUAUAGUGCCUACCCUCUCUGUGGCCAGUGAGAUGAAUCACCAAGGAGAUUGAGAUCCUUUAUAUAUACAUUAACAUACGUCCCUGAGGAAGCCCGA